GGCUCCUCCACCCCCGCCAUUGCCCUGUGACUGGAGGCCAAGCCCUGCCCUCCUGUUGACAGAGUGGAGUCUUCCUUAUGCUGAUGAAUGAAGUGACCGUUAAUAAGAUGAAACCAGGCCAGAAAAAGCCAAAUGAGGAAGCUGGCAGCUUUGUAAGUGGUUUUUCAGGGGGAAAAGUGAGAAAAUGGACACUAAAAUGGAUCCUUUAAGUUGCUUUUCUGACCUGCUUAGCGGGAGAGCUGGAGAUUCCAGGCCAUUGGAGGGCUUCCCAGAUGGAAAGAGUUCAUCCUUGGGGCUCGAUGACAAACAGCUCGGAGGAUGCUUGGCACUCUCAAGAAAAUUUUAUCGUGGAAGAGUUUUCAUUGCUUUUUGAAAAAUCCGAAUGUGAUAUUUUUGUGAUUAAAGAAAAAAGUAUCUUAAAUUUGUUGAUACUUGACUUGCAGCUUGAUCAUGUGGCUGCUUUUACACCAUCUCC
rnacentral:lncRNA from 10 species